GAUCGAUUCCGCUAGUUUGAGCUGUUUGGAGGGUGCCAUGAGGGUUAGGAAGGUGAGUGCUCCCAGUAGUUAUGUUUUUAUGCGUUGUUGGCUCAAUAAUUGUUACCUUAGGCUCGGCGGUUCUCGGAGCUCGCCUGUCUUGCGACUACUACAUGCGGCCGUUGGCCACGCCCCCAACACCAUUAAUUUUAAUAUGUGUGUGACUGUCGGUCCUCUAUGGCUAUGAUUCUGGCAGACCGGAUCCUCUGGUGAGUCCUGUACUGCUGUCAUGUUAGUUUGGGUGUCCACAACGUUUUCCUCAGUGACCCUUACUCUUUCAGUGACUGCUUGCAGCUCCAUUUUGAUUAUUGCAAAAUCAGCUGCCAGUAGCUUGUGGAUGUCGGCCAGAAGGACCUUCAGGUCUCAUUUUGUGGUUGGGGCUAAG